UCUCUCUGUGUGUGUGUGUGUGUCUCUCUCUGUGUGUGUGUCUCUCUCUCUCUCUGUGUGUUAGGCCUACCUGCUGAUCGAGGAGGACAUCCAGGAUCUGUCUCGCAGUGAUGAGUAUAAGGACUGUCCAGACAUCCAGAUGUCGGAGCUGAAGCCGUUCUCCGUCCCUCUGUGGAUGGUGGAGAAGAUGCAGAGAGCCAUGGAGGCUCAGAGAGACGCCGACCUGUGAUUGGCCCAGACAGACCAACAUCUGAUUGGCUCAUUGUUCUGCUGUUUUUAAAUAAAAUAAAUAGAAUAAAAACUCCAAA